rfam:Gossypium hirsutum cultivar TM-1 chromosome 6, whole genome shotgun sequence
UAAUAAAAGUUUCAUCCAUUUAUACUGUUACAACUGGCAUGGCUGACAAAAUAAUUAAACAUUUACAUGUAGUGUGCCAUGUGUACCUUAUGUUGAUAUAUAAGGACCAGUUUUGAACCGUAAAAAUGAAUAAAAUUUUUAACA